rnacentral:rRNA from 1 species
CCUACGGGUGGCAGCAGUGAGGAAUAUUGGUCAAUGGGCGGAAGCCUGAACCAGCCAAGUAGCGUGCAGGAUUACGGCCCUACGGGUUGUAAACUGCUUUUCUACGGGAAUAACGCGCCUUACGUGUAGGGCUUUGCCUGUACAGUAUGAAUAAGGACCGGCUAAUUCCGUGCCAGCAGCCGCGGUAAUACGGCGGGUCCGUGCGUUUUCCGGAUUUAUUGGGUUUAAAGGGAGUGUAGGCCGCAUGUCAAGCGUGCUGGGAAAGGUUGGGGCUCAACCAGAACAUUGCAGUGUGAGCUGGCAUGCUUGGGGCCACGGAAGGCAGGCGGAAUGCGUGGUGUAGCGGUGAAAUGAUUAG